GCAGGCUGCAACUCGCCUGCAUGAAGCCGGAAUCGCUAGUAAUCGCGGAUCAGCACGCCGCGGUGAAUACGUUCCCGGGCCUUGUACACACCGCCCGUCACACCACGAGAGUUUGUAACACCCGAAGUCGGUGAGGUAACCUUUUUGGAGCCAGCCGCCUAAGGUGGGAUAGAUGAUUGGGGUGAAGUCGUAACAAGGUAGCCGUAUCGGAAGGUGCGGCUGGAUCACCUCCUUUCUAAGGAA
rnacentral:rRNA from 1 species